GUUGGCAGAAAGCAAAUACUGUCAUAGAAUAAGGGCAGAAGAGCACAAGUUAACACUGUAGCUUAGAACACAAGGCUGAUUGUUGUAGCAGUAGGUAGAACACCUGAAAUCCAUAAAUCUGCAUUUCCAUCAGGUCUGCCCAAUUUUAAAAUACAGCAGUUCUGAGGUAGCAUAGAAUAAUUAAACAUACAUUUCAGUCCCCACUGUAGUUAGAGGUACUGCAAUUGCUGAAGAGACCCAAACUGUUACAACUCCCCCUAAACAAACAGUACAGGACAAAGAGCUGAAGGAAGAGGGCUAGUUGCAGUGUGCAGGCUCUCUCACCUUUACUGUCUGUUUUUCUAGAGGCUUUAGCAUUUAAGAUUUAGCUAAAGCUAAAUCCCUGCUUUAGCUUUACACCUGUGUUGGCUUGCAGUGUAGCAGUACAAAAUAAUUCCCUGGCUGCAGCUGCUUCUUUCAGUCAUCAGUUUUAUUUGAAUGUUACAUUCUGUAUGAAGUAAACAGCCCCCUCUCCACACUUGAACAGUUGGAACACAGUUGAUAACCCUUUCCUAGUACAACCACACCUUGAUCCACUACUCCAACUUACAGGGCAGUGAAGUUAAAAUAUUUAACAUUCUCAAUUAUUACAAGAAAUAGGAGUGUUUAAGAGCAUUUAAGAGCUGUCCUUUUCUUUCUUGCAAGAGACUUGCAGCAACAUCACAUCAGGACCUGGGAGAAAAAAAAAAUAGUUAGCACCAUAACUCAAGAGAAAGAAAAGCACUUUGCCUUCUGCCUUCCUAUAGGCUGAAGGAACUUAACUUUGUAACAUGGUGCCAAUGUAACAGCAGUAAGGCAGGCACACAUAUAUACGUCCCUUACUAAACUCUUUAGGGGCAAAAUCAUUUUGCAUGGUAGCUCUGAUUAGUUUCCUAUAUGCACUCUAUCCAUAAUAUUCCAUUUCAACACUACUGUCCACUUCCUCACCUACUUGGGAUUAUCUGUUUCCAUGCAGUUUCAAGAACAUGCCAUACACCCAAGCAGAAAAAAAAGCAUUAAAAGAUACAAGAACUACUCAUCAUGCCACAACUGUAUGAAUAUUCUCUUCCAACCCCACGUGCUGCUGAAGUCAGCUGCUUGCAGAUGAAAUCAGUAGCAUUCUGCCUGCAUUAGCAAUUCAAGAAGUGACAGGGCAGAAGCUACAGGUGGUUUCUCAUUCCAAGCAGCAAUAUAACUUAAGAAUUGUCUCCUCUGAAAUAGACCACAGCACACACAAAGUGGCUACAGCAUCCUGCUGAAAGGAGUUCAAUGUACGGUCACUGCGUUAAGAGCUGCUGGUUCUCCAGCCAUGCAAACCCUCUUUGAAGCGACCUUGAAUUUCUUGUGGGUACCAGCACUGCUGCUAAGCAUCUUACCUACAGACUUACUGUGGCAGCACUCAGGUACAACUUCUCACCCCCUGACAUUCAGUGACAGCAGCGGACUCUGGGUACACAAAGGCACAGUAGUUAGUAUAAAAGAGUUAAACUGAAGUUGGAUGCCAAGUGCAAGGAGCAGCCUUUCAUUCUCCAUUUUGAACGCAUGACAGUUCUGUCAACAGCAGCUUCUGGAGCUUGAGUUCAACAGCUGAAGAUUCUAGCUAGCACUUUGGUUCCUUGGCAGCCAAAGAGAGCCGCUAACACCCAGCAGAAGGGAGUGCUGUGUCUGUGGCCUACACCAAAGCUUUAUUCCCAGCAGACCUACUGCCACACAACGCAGCAAUUCAAGAGUCUGAUGGACUUGCUAUAUGGUCAUGUCCACAGCUCACCAGGAACAGCAAUAUCCUUGCAGCCUUGGUAAUGACCAGAUCCUCUCUCCCUUUACCACUGCUUUUACAAGCAUUUAAGACUAGCCUGCAGGUAGACACCCUGACCCAGAUACUGCCAAAAUCUGGAGUGCUGCCCAGGACUGCCUGCUACUGGACAGUCAUUUCUAUGUUUCUAGACAGUUUAUGGAAGUUUUGAUCUUCUAGAGUCAUACAUUAGCAACCGAGCUUCCAUCAAGUUGCCUGAAACCUUCUGAACUGAGAACUCAGUGCUUACCUGUCCAACACUUUGUUUCCUCUUCCACAGCCAACUGACUGUUGUGUAUCCCAAGGCACCUGUUUUAAAGAAACAAACUGAGCACGAGGGAGAACCAGUGGGCAGCUCACACUGACAAGUCCUACCCGACAUAAAAGGACUGCGCUCAAAUCCUUGAAGAGGGCAGCACCUGUAUCAGCAAGAAUACCAGGUUUAACAACCACUGCAGAGUGAAAACCAACGAUGCCAAAUGCUGAAUUACUGUAGCACUGGUUUUUGAACACCCCAUCAGAAGAACGCUGCUGGGUGCAGAUACCAUUCAGUGCAACAGACGCAGCAGUCCUCAGUCAACAAAUGCACGUUAAGGUUCAAGCUGUCCAUACACCAGGCAGCGAUAAGCUGAAGUACCAAUUUCACAGAAGUUGCCAUGCAACGAAGAGGGAAAAGAAAUUCCAUCAAUUUCAGCAGCCUCGUAAUUCUUUCAAGUAUUUAUAUUCCCAGCACAAAGGGCUUAUAGAAGCAUUGUCUGCGUUUUACUUUAAGCUAUGUUCUAUAGAAUAGCACAAUGCUCCAUACAACCCAGGACUUCUGACACUGUACUAGUAAACUGCCUGAGAUGCUCAGCUACUUUGAAGCUUAGCAGGAGAAAAGCAGUAUUGCUGAAUUACAUAGAGCAAAAAUCCGGCAGGCUCAUUGAAUUACUUUAAGACUGGACAGACAUCAGAGGGCUGGACUUCUUAAUUUAAACCUAUAGCCACCACAAGGAACAGAAAGUCACUUUCAGAUUGAAGUGGGAAGAGUCUGCUUCAAGCCAACCAGGAAAAAAAAAAGCCACUAAGAGGUCUGGUACCUUCACAGACAUCUGGCUGAAGAGCAAGUUCAACCCACACAAUUAAACAUGUUAGUUACAUUUUAAAUCUCAGAACAUGCUCUUUUUCACUCUUACCAAGCUUUUCCAUUUGAAUCUUUUUUUUUCCAUUUAUAUCAAAUGCAUGAGCCAGUACCUGAGGGAGAACAUGACAUGUUACUUCCAUUCCUGAAAUGGGACAUGAAGAUUUGUCUUGUAGUUCUAUCCCACAGAGCUAACAGGUAGCUCCAAGGGUAAAACUAAACCACAAGUUUGUUCUGUGAGGCGUUUCCAACGACAUGAACCUACAGAAGAGAUCCUAUCGGGAUAGACCUCAACAUUUCUGUGACCAUAAACUAAUGCAACAAAAAUCAAGCAGACUGGAAAAGCAUCUCAUACAGUUCCUAUAAAGUUCCUUCUUCUGUCAUGACUUUUGGGGGAAAAGGGAGGGAAAUGUUACACUACCAUUUCAUUUGGAAGAUGCAGCAGUAACUCCACAUCAGCAACAGUUUCAUGUUAAAAGCUAACAUUACAUGAACAAUAUAAAACUGAGAGAAUUAACUACAAUGUUUAUUCAAACACUAACUUCUCUAAGUACUCAUUUACUUUUAAAGUAAAGCCCAAGUUUGGCAAGUUAAGCUCAUCAUUUCAGACUGUGAGAUCUUUCUUGGGAUAUAUCAAAGUUAAAGACUUACAGACUGAAAGGGAACACUACCUUAAAAUAUACUGACAUAACAUUGAGCUCUGUCCCUGUAACACUCCCAAAGGCACUGAGCUUCAUCAGGUGAACAGCUCCAGCCACUGAAAACCAGAGCCCCUCAAACACCAAUGCAUUUGCAGAAGCUCAGAUGGCAUACUAACCUAUAAGGGAGCUCCUGUCUCUGUCAAGUGGCUUUCUGCAUUUCUUCUCUCAUUUCCUCAUCACCUGCCACUAAGGCACUCCUCUGGUCUGCACUGUCACGUGGGCUUGCUGAAAAGAAGAGUAGAUCACAGUAUCUGAUUAACAGUUUUAAGUUUCUUCAGCAUUUUAGUAAUUUCAAGUACUCUCAACAUUGAAUAAGCAGCACUUCUUUCAGGAUCAGUCUGUCACAGAACUAUCAACCAAAUCCACCCACACUGCAGAAAUCAAAGCGCUAUGGCACAGAUGGUGCACAUGAGAGUGUUACCUACAUCAGCUGGCACUGUGGUGUAAAGAAACUGUAAGACAGCACCUUAAGACAGCUUCUAAGUGUGCUUUGAUGAACUAUUUACAGAAUUCAGCACUGUGUGUUUUUCUUCUACUUCCCACAGCCAGCAGGAUGCAGAAUGCUGCAAGAUAUGGUUUAGUAGCUUAGUGGAUAGUAAUGGUGAUAGGAUGGUUGGACUGAAAGGUUGUGGGUCCUUUCCAACCUUGUGAUUCUAUGAAUUCACGAAUUCACAACGCCAAACAUGCCAAUCCUUCAGACUUUAAAGAGUAACUACAUUUGGAACCACGUUUGCACAAUUCUCUCACUACAUAAACCUGUCACAGGUCUCAUUGUCACCACUGCAAUGGGUGUUACAGUGAGGAAAGCACAACCUGUUGCUCUUCUAGCCCCGUUCUUCAAUUGAGACACACAUGGAGUUGUGUCUACCUGCUGAAUAACAAGGCGUAACAAUUAACUCUUCACUACACCUGCAGAACAGCUUGUAGUAAAGCCCAGCCAAUCAUCUCUAACAUGGACACAUCACUAACUGCCUUCUGGGAACUGGCUUUGUCCUUCCACAUGAAAUAUUUCUUUGGGGAAAAAAACCACAGAACAGCUAAACCUUCAGCUUACAGUCCUCACACAACAACCACCCCAUAGGAAAAAAACUUCCUCAGAUAUUCCUCCACUUCAAGAAACAUUAAAGAACAACAUCAACUUAAUUGCACUUUUAUCACAUCACUUGUCCAACAGUUCCCCCUGCUGUGUUUGUCAAGCUCCACCAAAGCCUCUCUGAGAAGGCACAGACCCAAGUUCUCUCAUACCAAAACUCAGCAGAAACAAAGCAUACCUCCUUAACCAGUGUAUUCCACAGGAGCGCAUGGAAGUAACAGAUCUGUGCACCAGCUGGAAGAAUUCAAACAGAUCAAAACGGUUACAAUAGCUCAUUGCUGCAGAGCUAGAAAAGAUGUAGUCCAGUUGCAUUGUUUCCUUCCUACAUUUCUGCACAUGCAAUAAGAAAUGAGCCCUUUGAAUUAAUUACUGCUUGAAUAAAUAUAAGCACUGUCCCUUCAUAUAAGUAACACAGCCAAUACAUGCAUCAGCUGUGGGUUGCGAAAGAAGGUGUUUUUCUAAGCACCAGGUUCCAGGUUUUUGUCUACAGCACCAGACAAAAACUGAACACGUGCUGAAACAGAAUGCAUCUGCUUCCCUCUUAUUUUUCACUGUUUUUGAAACAGUAUUUGAAGAGCACACAGAAGUAAAGGUAUUUCUCAGUCAACUAUAUACUUACUCCAUAACUGUCACCAUCCAUUACUGGGCCUCCUGUUUUUAAGAGACAGGUAUGAUUUGGGCUAUGGUAACAGGCACAACAAGCUCAGUAUGACUAUCAGAUACUGUUGUAAGAACAAUAUACACUGUGUUGAGUUGACACAUCAUCUACUCCAGUAGCUUUACUGCAACAAAAGCUGAAAGCAGAUGCCCCAGUUUGAUCCUCUUACAAGGAAACAUGCUUAUUUUCAUUACUGGUGUAGCUGUACCUCUUGGCUCCCCCUGUUAAAAAGUAACCCUGAAGUUUUUCUUCUACCCUAUUUCCUAGACCCUCCGGAAGGUCUGAUAACAUCUGAUAACACACAGAUCAUCCCUUUGUGAGAAGCUCCACAGCUUUAGCAGUAACAUCCAAGACCACCUCCUGACAUUCCUUCCUCCUGCAGUUUUACC
rnacentral:lncRNA from 1 species